AAAUUGAAGAGUUUGAUCAUGGCUCAGAUUGAACGCUGGCGGCAGGCCUAACACAUGCAAGUCGAACGGUAACAGGAAGCAGCUUGCUGCUUCGCUGAUGAGUGGCGGACGGGUGAGUAAUGUCUGGGAAACUGCCUGAUGGAGGGGGAUAACUACUGGAAACGGUAGCUAAUACCGCAUAACGUCGCAAGACCAAA
rnacentral:rRNA from 1 species